rfam:Bacillus solimangrovi strain GH2-4 NODE_60_length_3329_cov_14.2502_ID_5964, whole genome shotgun sequence.
UCUGGUGACGAUAGCGAAGAGGUCACACCCGUUCCCAUACCGAACACGGAAGUUAAGCUCUUCAGCGCCGAUGGUAGUUGGGGUGUUUCCCCUGUGAGAGUAGGACGUUGCCGGGC